UUUAUUUCGGAGCAAAAAAACAAGACUUAGGGCCCCAUAUUGGCUAGGGGCCGGCUCUGCUGGGCAUGUUGAACUCGCUUCAAAGUACAGGCCCCUGAAGUCUGCAGACACAUGGCCGGGAGAAGAUGUUCGGCUCGAGUGCCUGUGAUGCCCGACACCUCACCUGAUCCCCAACAGCUGACCACUGAACUUCCCCAAUGAGAUGAAGGUGGAGAUGGUCACACCCACCAUUCCUCGCACCCUCUUGGGGGCGCAUUCAACAAGUUGACCCGACACCAGUGCCCCCACCAACCCCCCGAUGCAGAAAAUGGACACGGUGAAGGACCAGAUGAGAGACACCUGCCACUGCUCCAACGAGACACCGUAUCUCUGCUGACAGGUUUUGUUCACCAGCUCCUUUAUGAACUGAAAACACCACAUGUACACUUAGUGUCACUUUAGUUUUGAUUGCAUAGAAGCGUUACGUGAGGUUUAGCACGUUUUCCUCACGCAGAAGUGCCAUACGGUUAUCUUUACAGCAGAUAUAAAACCGCUCAUACAUCACUUAAAUUUGCUGACAUCUUACUGGGAGUUUUUGAAGUAGUUCUACUUACAACAGAGGGGGAGGUCAUCACGGAUACACUGUAUCCAUAUUGAAACGUCCCUCCGAUGCCACAGAUGAAAAUGGCAGCGAUCACGACGGGGCAGUCUAGCUGCAGAAACAUGAACAUGUCUUUAAGUUAGAAAUGACAAAUCGUGGUACAUUUUUUUCUUUGAAAUCAAACAACAAUUUUCCACCUUUCUAUUAACACGUUGCCCAAAGCUAACAUUUGUCAGAGUCAGUUCUAAAUUAUUUAUGUUUAUUCUGCAGGCAGUACACUACAGAGCAUGUAAUUAAAUUCAGCAUUCGGGCUAUUUUUCUUUUUGAUAAAGCUCCCUCCAAACCUUGGCUUUUACACAUGUAUCCCACCAGAAAUGUGAGGUAGACACAUAGAAAUGAUUUUGAAUGUAACCUACCAGGAGUGCUAAAUACUGUGAC